CUUACACAUCCCAGUCUAGGCCACCACUCCUGUCUGGGACCUGGGUCUUCUACUGUGUCCUCCUGGUUUUCCAGCACAGCUGGACCCUGAGCUUUGCUCUAGCCAUCCCCUCCACAGAGUGCCUGAAGUUCUCCACCGUCACCUCACAGAACCCCACUCACCCUCCCCAGCUUUAGUGGAAUGACCUGUGGGUGACCACGUCAUCUGUCAAUCUCUAAUAAGGAAACAGUGAAAAACAACCCUGGAUAGACAGCUAAAGGCAAAUCCAUACCAAG
rnacentral:lncRNA from 1 species